rnacentral:rRNA from 1 species
AUAUCAAUAAGCGGAGGAAAAGAAACCAACAGGGAUUGCCUCAGUAACGGCGAGUGAAGCGGCAAAAGCUCAAAUUUGAAAUCUGGCCUCUGGUCCGAAUUGUAAUUUGAAGAAGCGACUUUGGUACCGGCUCUUGUCUAUGUUCCUUGGAACAGGACGUCACAGAGGGUGAGAAUCCCGUGCGAUGAGAUGCUCCGGUGCUAUGUAAAGCGUUUUCGACGAGUCGAGUUGUUUGGGAAUGCAGCUCUAAGUGGGUGGUAAAUUCCAUCUAAAGCUAAAUAUUGGCGAGAGACCGAUAGCGAACAAGUACAGUGAUGGAAAGAUGAAAAGAACUUUGAAAAGAGAGUGAAAAAGUACGUGAAAUUGUUGAAAGGGAAGGGCUUGAGAUCAGACUUUGUAUUUCCAUGGCGCUCUUUCGGGGGUGUCCUCUGGGUUUACAGGGCCAGCAUGGGUUCUGCGGGCGAGACAAGGUUCUAGGAAUGUGGCUCUGCUUCGGUGGAGUGUUAUAGCCUGGGGUACUAGUCGCCACGCGGGACCGAGGACUGCGAUUCUAGGAUGCUGGCAUAAUG